UACUCCUUCAAGGAAAAAAAAAUUAACAUUGUCUGCUUUGUGCCAGAUUGAUGUCCAGCAGGGGCUGGCAACACCAGGGUCAAUGAAAAUCUAGCCCUCACCCUCCCCACUCAUUGAUCUGAGAGGUGAAAUGCAGCCCACACUCAGCUUGCUAAGCCAUGAGCCCUGACAUGUAGGAAGGGGCUUCUUUUACUAAUUCAAAUAAUUCAUAUAUGCCAGUGGUAGUCUUGUGCUGGCCAGCAGCUAAACCUCAUGCAUGACAUUCUCAGCCAAUCACAUCUGCUAUUUGCAGCAACGUAGUGAAUCAAACGGACAUUGAGAAUUAUGCUCCCCAAUUUCAGUGGAGGAGAUGGAAGUGCAGAGAGUUUAACUGACUGACUUGGGACAGUCUCUUGUCUCUUGGUUUGUCAGGGCCAGCA
rnacentral:lncRNA from 10 species